GAUGAACGCUGGCGGCGCGCCUAACACAUGCAAGUCGAACGAUUAAAGCACCUUCGGGUGUGUAUAAAGUGGCGAACGGCUGAGUAACACGUGGGCAACCUGCCCCUUUCAUUGGGAUAGCCACGGGAAACCGUGGAUAAUACCGAAUACUUCGAGACUUCCGCAUGGAAGACUCGAGAAAGCUCCGGCGGAGAGGGAUGGGCCCGCGGCCUGUUAGUUUGUUGGUGGGGUAACGGCCUACCAAGGCAAUGAUGGGUAGCUGGGUUGAGAGACCGACCAGCCAGAUUGGGACUGAGACACGGCCCAGACUCCUACGGGAGGCAGCAGUGGGGAAUCUUGCACAAUGGGCGAAAGCCUGAUGCAGCGACGCCGCGUGCGGGAUGAAGGCCUUCGGGUUGUAAACCGCUUUCAGCAGGGACGAGGCGAAAGUGACGGUACCUGCAGAAGAAGCCCCGGCUAACUACGUG
rnacentral:rRNA from 1 species